rnacentral:rRNA from 1 species
ACGGGUGAGUAACACGUGGGCAACCUGCCCUUGAGACUGGGAUAACUUCGGGAAACCGGAGCUAAUACCGGAUAAUAUAAGGAACCUCCUGGUUCCUUGUUGAAAGAUGGUUUCGGCUAUCACUUAAGGAUGGGCCCGCGGCACAUUAGCUAGUUGGUGAGGUAACGGCUCACCAAGGCGACGAUGCGUAGCCGACCUGAGAGGGUGAUCGGCCACACUGGGACUGAGACACGGCCCAGACUCCUACGGGAGGCAGCAGUAGGGAAUCUUCCACAAUGGACGAAAGUCUGAUGGAGCAACGCCGCGUGAGUGAUGAAGGCCUUCGGGUCGUAAAGCUCUGUUGUUAGGGAAGAACAAGUGCGAGAGUAACUGCUCGCACCUUGACGGUACCUAACCAGAAAGCCACGGCUAACUACGUGCCAGCAGCCGCGGUAAUACGUAGGUGGCAAGCGUUAUCCGGAAUUAUUGGGCGUAAAGCGCGCGCAGGUGGUUUCUUAAGUCUGAUGUGAAGGCCCACGGCUCAACCGUGGAGGGUCAUUGGAAACUGGGGAACUUGAGUGCAGAAGAGGAAAGUGGAAUUCC